CUUAGGGUCGUAAAACUCGUUCGCCAGAGAUGAUAAUGACAGUAUCUGGUAAAGAAACCCCGGCUAACUCCGUGCCAGCAGCCGCGGUAAUACGGAGGGGGUUAGCGUUGUUCGGAAUUACUGGGCGUAAAGCGCACGUAGGCGGACUGGAAAGUUGGGGGUGAAAUCCCGGGGCUCAACCUCGGAACUGCCUCCAAAACUAUCAGUCUAGAGUUCGAGAGAGGUGAGUGGAAUUCCAAGUGUAGAGGUGAAAUUCGUAGAUAUUUGGAGGAACACCAGUGGCGAAGGCGGCUCACUGGCUCGAUACUGACGCUGAGGUGCGAAAGUGUGGGGAGCAAACAGGAUUAGAUACCCUGGUAGUCCACACCGUAAACGAUGAAUGCCAGUCGUCGGCAAGUAUACUUGUCGGUGACACACCUAACGGAUUAAGCAUUCCGCCUGGGGAGUACGGUCGCAAGAUUAAAACUCAAAGGAAUUGACGGGGGCCCGCACAAGCGGUGGAGCAUGUGGUUUAAUUCGAAGC
rnacentral:rRNA from 1 species